rnacentral:rRNA from 1 species
AACGAACGCUGGCGGCAUGCCUAACACAUGCAAGUCGAACGGGACCUUCGGGUCUAGUGGCGCACGGGUGCGUAACGCGUGGGAAUCUGCCCUUAGGUACGGAAUAACUCAGGGAAACUUGAGCUAAUACCGUAUAAUGACUUCGGUCCAAAGAUUUAUCGCCUAAGGAUGAGCCCGCGUAGGAUUAGCUUGUUGGUGAGGUAAAAGCUCACCAAGGCGACGAUCCUUAGCUGGUCUGAGAGGAUGAUCAGCCACACUGGGACUGAGACA